GAGGCCAAGGAAUGAAUGGGGCCAGAGACACUGAAUUCCCCUCCAACCCACAGAGGUGGUCCCUCCAGGAGAUGGUUGAGAUCUUCUGUGGUUAUAUGGAGGGCUCUAAUUUCCAAGGCUUUUAAUCCAGGGCCUUUCAACAGCACUAAAUUCACAUCAUUUUUCUCUUUAAAGUAAUACGGUUGAAUUUAUUACAGCAAUCAUGUCCGUGGCAACAAGGUAUGAGGUCAUAAUACAGGAUGAUGACUUCACUGCUGGACAGUGCCUAAAGAAGAGCUUCUAACAGGACACACAUGUUCAGCUACGUGACCCAGUUUGACGCUGGGCUGACUCCCGAGUUGCUGUAAACCAGCACAGAUCCUCUGACUUCAAUGAAGCUCCAUCAGUUCACAGCAGCUGACAGUCUGGCUCAUUCAGUCUUAAAGGAGGAGCAAACAGGUCUGCACAAGAACUUAAAUCACCUGGAAAACUGCGCUCAUCUGAAAUCAGGCUGCUGGAGCAAAACAGAAAAGGUCUCGUUUCCAAACAAUGAGCUGUUUUGUAUGACCAGAAAUGCCAACCACAUCUGGGACAAGAGAACUAAUGAGAUUCCGGCAUUCAAGUAAUUGAGAGACCAAAGUCAGACAGCACCUGUAGCAUCAUUCAAACCAGCAAUGGUUUGAAGGGUUUGCUGGGGCCUCUAUUAAACAACU